AUUGAACGCUGGCGGCAUGCCUUACACAUGCAAGUCGAACGGCAGCACGGGAGCAAUCCUGGUGGCGAGUGGCGAACGGGUGAGUAAUACAUCGGAACGUGCCCAGUAGUGGGGGAUAACCCGGCGAAAGCCGGACUAAUACCGCAUACGACCUACGGGUGAAAGCAGGGGAUCGCAAGACCUUGCGCUAUCGGAGCGGCCGAUGUCAGAUUAGCUUGUUGGCGGGGUAAAGCCCACCAAGGCGACGAUCUGUAGCUGGUCUGAGAGGACGACCAGCCACACUGGGACUGAGACACGGCCCAGACUCCUACGGGAGGCAGCAGUGGGGAAUUUUGGGACAAUGGGCGCAAGCCUGAUCCAGCCAUGCCGCGUGCGGGAAGAAGGCC
rnacentral:rRNA from 1 species